UUUAUACAAUUUUAAUGUUAUAUAGGCAAAUAUAAAUUAAUCUUAUUAUAAUAAUCUUGAAAGAGUUAUUAAAUAAAGCAAUCUAUAUGAAUAUGAAGUGAAAAAAUGGAAAAAUAGAUAAGUACUUUGAAAGAUAUGAUGAAACGAAUGCACAUCGGUAGUAUGGGAUGGGUCGAUGCAGCGCCGGCGCUGCAGAACAUAACCAAGAAGACGAACAUCCCCACCAAUUCUCUUUAUCGUCGAAACGAUCGCGUCGACGUGUACCCACUUCUCCAUCCAUCCUACGAAACAGAGUGAGAAGAAAACAGUGUUUCUAUCUCUAUCUCUUGUUCUCUUCCCUCUUGUCACACGAAUGCAGCUCCGCAGAACACUAUACGAAGCACCUCGAAUCAGUGUAGAACGGUUUGCAACAAAGUAGAGCCGUUUUCGCGUUUACCUCCUCGUGGGGAAUUAGGAAUUGAAUAAAAUUCACGCAGUGAUGAAGUACUCGCCGCAACAGCAGCAGCAGCAAAAGGAAGGAAGUCGGAGAGCGACGUUUGCUCGAUCGACGCGGCGACACCGAAUCGUGGCGGAGGAGGAGGGAGGCGUCAAUCGGCAUCGACAGAGUGUAAAAAUUUCACGAGCACGUCGUCGAGGAACGCUAUCUGUCGUUCGCCAUCGACGGGGAUGUUCGCCUGGAUGCGCGUGUUCCGGCUCGCCUCGAUGCUUCAUCAGGUUGGCUGCUAGAUCCGAGUGUUACACGGAGCGCCUCGUGUCCGCAAAACUCAUAGAUGUAUUUAACGAUUUAAAAAUUGAAAGGGAUCGUGUACACGUGUGCGCACGUAUGCGCGCGCAGUCGCAGUUCAUUCCGCGCCUGCACUUAUGCAAUCCAUCUGUCCAUCUGUCGUUUAUCCGCACGCAUGGUCACACGUGUACAGGUGCAUUCGACGACCCUUUUCUCUCGGUCGUCAUUUAUCUUGUAUCCAUAGGGUGGUCGGUUCGUGACGUAGGGACGGCCGACGGUAGCUCAACUAUAGUGCGUUACGCGAUAAAAACAAGCAACUGGGCGUCGUACUGGCUACGGUAUCGCCUACACUUAUACGUAGAGACGAAGUUACACAUAUA